ACCUGGAAACAGAUGCUAAUACCGCAUAACAACUUGGACCGCAUGGUCCGAGUUUGAAAGAUGGCUUCGGCUAUCACUUUUGGAUGGUCCCGCGGCGUAUUAGCUAGAUGGUGAGGUAACGGCUCACCAUGGCAAUGAUACGUAGCCGACCUGAGAGGGUAAUCGGCCACAUUGGGACUGAGACACGGCCCAAACUCCUACGGGAGGCAGCAGUAGGGAAUCUUCCACAAUGGACGAAAGUCUGAUGGAGCAACGCCGCGUGAGUGAAGAAGGGUUUCGGCUCGUAAAACUCUGUUGUUAAAGAAGAACAUAUCUGAGAGUAACUGUUCAGGUAUUGACGGUAUUUAACCAGAAAGCCACGGCUAACUACGUGCCAGCAGCCGCGGUAAUACGUAGGUGGCAAGCGUUGUCCGGAUUUAUUGGGCGUAAAGCGAGCGCAGGCGGUUUUUUAAGUCUGAUGUGAAAGCCUUCGGCUCAACCGAAGAAGUGCAUCGGAAACUGGGAAACUUGAGUGCAGAAGAGGACAGUGGAACUCCAUGUGUAGCGGUGAAAUGCGUAGAUAUAUGGAAGAACACCAGUGGCGAAGGCGGCUGUCUGGUCUGUAACUGACGCUGAGGCUCGAAAGUAUGGGUAGCAAACAGGAUUAGAUACCCUGGUAGUCCAUACCGUAAACGAUGAAUGCUAAGUGUUGGAGGGUUUCCGCCCUUCAGUGCUGCAGCUAACGCAUUAAGCAUUCCGCCUGGGGAGUACGGCCGCAAGGCUGAAACUCAAAGGAAUUGACGGGGGCCCGCACAAGCGGUGGAGCAUGUGGUUUAAUUCGAAGCUACGCGAAGAACCUUACCAGGUCUUGACAUACUAUGCAAAUCUAAGAGAUUAGACGUUCCCUUCGGGGACAUGGAUACAGGUGGUGCAUGGUUGUCGUCAGCUCGUGUCGUGAGAUGUUGGGUUAAGUCCCGCAACGAGCGCAACCCUUAUUAUCAGUUGCCAGCAUUAAGUUGGGCACUCUGGUGAGACUGCCGGUGACAAACCGGAGGAAGGUGGGGAUGACGUCAAAUCAUCAUGCCCCUUAUGACCUGGGCUACACACGUGCUACAAUGGAUGGUACAACGAGUUGCGAACUCGCGAGAGUAAGCUAAUGUCUUAAAGCCAUUCUCAGUUCGGAUUGUAGGCUGCAACUCGCCUACAUGAAGUCGGA
rnacentral:rRNA from 2 species